ensembl:lncRNA
UUAUUGACUGUCAGCAUUACUGACACAAGCUGGGGCUGGGUGGUGCUCAACACACUUUAACAGCAGAGAGGAGCGGUUCUGUCUGCCCGUACAACGCGACACCUUCCGAUCGCCUGCCCCUAACUGACCACAAGGGAGGGAACACCAGGGUGGCCCAGGGAUGUGACAUCACCAGGUUCAGGGUCGCAUGGAGGCUCUGGGUGAAUCUCCUCAGGUCCUCGUGCAAGUCUGGGGAGUUGCCCCAGUGUGGCCAAGUCACAGCAGCCGCCACCUUGCCCAGGGUGGCCACCACGGCCAUCAGUGCCUGCAGCUGCUGAGGGGACACCUGGGGAGAGGACAGGGGAGGUGUCAGGGACCUGGUGGCACUUAGAGCCUGCUGCAAUGGCUCCUGUGGCCCCAAGGGGUCUGCUUUGUCCCUCCAUCCCUUUGUCGGCCUCCUGUCCCUGCUGCCCCCGCCCCAUUGGCCCCUGUGUCCCCCCAGUGUAGUCUCUGACCCCCCUCACCCCCACCAUCGCACCUCUUGGAGCUCCAUGCUCACUGGGGAGAUCUUGGGGACGCUCCGGGGACACUCUGGGGGUCGAAGGAGCCUUGGGAUGUCCUCGAUGGCUCUUUGGCACCGGUCAGCCUCACCACAGGCACUGGGGCUCUUUGGGCUCCACGGUCACUGGGGACACCUUGGGGACACCUUGGGGACGCUCUGGUGGCGAAGGAGCCCCGGGACCAGCGGCAGUUGCAGCUCAGAAACCGUUCCGGGAACGGUGCCAAGAAAAGGCGGAGCCGCCUCAUGAGGGGCGGGAAAGGGGCCGGGCGCCCGCUGUUUCCCCGUACCGCCCUUAUGCAUAAAAGCUCCAGGCUCUGGGCGCUUUGGCUCAACCCCAGGGAAAUUAGGAUCCGUCCCCAGGGAAUUUAGGCUCAGUCUCGGCAUUUCCAGGCGGAUUCCGCCCUUUCUGGCCGGAUUUAUGAGGGACCGCGGAGCGCUCCGAGGGGCAGGCGGAACUGCCCUCACACUAUAUGGCGGCGGAGCCUCACGCCAAAGACGGGCAGUUUGCGCUGGUUGAGCCCGGGGAGCGCUCCUGGGGGACGCUGCCGGGUGGAUUUGGGCGCUUUGGUUGAAUCCCAGGGGAUUUAGGAUCCAUCCCCAGGGGGUUUAGGCUCAGUCCCGGCAUUUCCAGGCGGAUUCCGCUCUUUCUGGCCGGAUUAAUGAGGGAACGCAAAGCGCUCCGAGGAGCGGGCGGAACUGCCCUCACGCAAGAUGGCGGCGCUGCUUCAGGGAAACAACGGGAGCUGUCCUGGCUCUCUUUAGAGGCCCCAGGGGUCCUGCAGGGUUUUAGGCCGAGUUUGGGGUGGUUUAAGCGGAAUUAUGGGGGGAUUUAGGCUGAAUUUGGGGGAUUUAAGUGGAGUUUGGAAUCCCCGUUGCUCCGCUCGUCUGUAGCCACAUCCAGGACCGGGCGGAAGUGCCCUCACCCAAAAUGGCGGCGCAGCCUCACGCCACAGACGGACAGUUUGCGCUGGUAGAGCCUGGGGAGCGCUCCUAAAGGGACGCUGCUGGGUGGAUUUGUGAGCUUUGGUUGAAUGCCAGAGAAUUUAGACUCAGCCCCGGUUGAUUUAGGUUCUGUCCCGCCAUUUCCAGGCAGAUUCCACCGUUUCGCGCUGGAUUUAUAAGGGAACGCAGAGCGCUCUGAGGAGCGGGCGGAGCUGCCCUCA